AGCUCCAAUAGCGUAUAUUAAAGUUGCUGCAGUUAAAAAGCUCGUAGUUGGAUCUCGGGGUACCUGGUCUAGCCGGUAUAGCUCACGCUAAAACUGGUCUGACCCCCCAACGUGAGGUAUUCGUCUCCGGGUGCACUUCAUUGGGUGCUCGUGAGGGGCCUCGUAGUUACUGUGAAAAAAUUAGAGUGUUCAAAGCAGGCUCAUAUGUUCGGAUAGUCGUGCAUGGAAUAACUGAAUACGGGACUGGCGCUUUCCAGUGGGUCUCGGGGACGGGUAAAAUGAUUAAGAGGGCCGGCCGGGGCAUUGGUAUGGCGGGGUUAGAGGUGAAAUUCUUGGAUCCUCGCCAGACCAACAAAAGCGAAAGCAUUUGCCAAGAAUGUCUUCA
rnacentral:rRNA from 1 species